rnacentral:rRNA from 1 species
UACGUAGGGUGCGAGCGUUAAUCGGAAUUACUGGGCGUAAAGCGUGCGCAGGCGGUUCGUUAAGUCAGAUGUGAAGGCCCCGGGCUCAACCUGGGAACUGCAUUUGAAACUGGCGGGCUUGAGUGUGGCAGAGGGGGGUGGAAUUCCGCGUGUAGCAGUGAAAUGCGUAGAGAUGCGGAGGAACACCGAUGGCGAAGGCAGCCCCCUGGGCCAACACUGACGCUCAGGCACGAAAGCGUGGGGAGCAAACAGG